rnacentral:lncRNA from 1 species
GACUGGGAGUCUUCGUGGUCGGAUUCCCCACCCUUCCUUACCUCGUAAACCGACAGACCUGGGUUUCGCCGCUGCUCCUGUUCCUCGAGCAGCCUUCAAGCAGUGGAAAUUACGGAGAAAUGAACAUUCUGAAAGCGCCUAGUAAAUGGUAAAGGCCUGGCUACUGCAGGAAGAAAAGGGCAAGGCAGGCAUCUCCAGAGCACAGCCUCGGGCGUGGUGAGAGGCGCGCGCUGGGCGCUGUGUGGGGGUGGGGAGCGCUUUUGUGCACCGCUGGUUCCUCCGCAGGCUCAGGUGUGUGCGGACAGGUGUCGCCACCUCCUUCCAGACCGUCUGCCCCUUGGGG